UAGAGUUUGAUCCUGGCUCAGAUUGAACGCUGGCGGCAUGGCUAAAACAUGCAAGUCGAACGCGAAAAUGGAGCUUGCUCCAUGAGUAGAGUGGCGUAAGGGCGAGUAAUGCGUUCCUAACGUGCCUCAAGGCCAGGGAUAGCCCAGGGAAACCUGGAUUAAUACCUGAUAACCCCGUUGAACCGCAUGAUUUAACGGGCAAAGGCUUGCUACCUUGAGAUCGGGGAACGUGCUAUCAGCUUGUUGGUGAGGUAACGGCUCACCAAGGCUAAGACGGCUAGCGGGUGUGAGAGCACGGCCCGCCGCAUCGGGACUGAGACACUGCCCGGACUCCUACGGGAGGCUGCAGUAACGAAUAUUCCGCAAUGGGCGAAAGCCUGAUGGAGCAAUGCCGCGUGUGGGAUGAAGCAUCUAGGUGUGUAAACCACUGUCAGGAGCUAGGAACACAAUGACCAGCUCCAAAGGAAGGGCCGGCUAACUUCGUGCCAGCAGCCGCGGUAAUACGAAGGGCCCGAGCGUUGCGCGGAAUCACUGGGCUUAAAGCGUACGCAGGCGGAUAUGUAAGUACCUUGUGAAAUCCCACGGCUCAACCGUGGAACUGCUUGGUAAACUACAUAUCUUGAGAUCGGUAGGGGCCAUCGGAACGAUAGGUGGAGCGGUGAAAUGCGUAGAUAUCUAUCGGAACGCCCAAGGCGAAGGCAGAUGGCUGGGCCGAUUCUGACGCUCAUGUACGAAAGCGUGGGGAGCGAACGGGAUUAGAUACCCCGGUAGUCCACGCCCUAAACGAUGUGCACUAGAUCGCAGAGACUCUGACGUCGUUGUGGUUGAAGCAAAAGUAUUAAGUGCACCGCCUGGGGAGUACGGUCGCAAGGCUAAAACUCAAAGGAAUUGACGGGGGCUCACACAAGCGGUGGAGCAUGUGGCUUAAUUCGAGGCAACGCGAAGAACCUUAUCCUGGGUUUGACAUGUAUGAAUUAGCUUUUGGAAACAUAAGUGACGCGGUUUACCGUGGAACAUACACAGGUGCUGCAUGGCUGUCGUCAGCUCGUGCCGUGAGGUGUUAGGUUAAGUCCUUUAACGAGCGAAACCCUUGCCGUUAGUUGCUAACAGAUAAUGCUGAGGACUCUAGCGGGACUGCCGGUGUUAAACCGGAGGAAGGUGGGGAUGACGUCAAGUCCUCAUGGCCUUUAUGCCCAGGGCUGCACACGUGCUACAAUGGCGUACACAAAGCGAAGCAAUACUGCAAAGUGGAGCAAAUCGCAAAAAAUACGCCUCAGUUCGGAUUGUAGUCUGCAACUCGACUACAUGAAGUUGGAAUCGCUAGUAAUCGCGUAUCAGCUACGACGCGGUGAAUACGUUCCUGAGCCUUGUACACACCGCCCGUCAAGUCAUGGAAGCUGGUAGUACCCGAAGCCGCACUAAUUCAAGUGUGUCGACGGUAAGAUUGGUGACUGGGACUAAGUCGUAACAAGGUAGCC
rnacentral:rRNA from 1 species